rnacentral:rRNA from 1 species
AUGUUGAGUGGUGUAAGCUCAGCCAACGAUCUGCAUGUCUAUUUACGUCCAUUCUUUAUUUUGUACUUUCACACAAAGUUCGUGUAUCCUCGAUCAUGUGAAAAAUGGAUACUCAAAUCAAUUGGAAGAGACUGGAGGAAAUUUAAGUCUAGUUUGAAAGAUGCUUUCUUCAAUCCCGACAUUGAAAAAAAAAUCCAAACAUCAAGCGAAAGGCUUUGUAUAAGCUCUGUCCAGAAGAUGUGUACAACGAUCAAUGGCGUGGGCAUGUUAAAUAUUGGAAGUCCAAAAAAGGAAGGGCCCUUGCCGAGAAGAACAUAA